AACGAACGCUGGCGGCAUGCCUAACACAUGCAAGUCGAACGAGACCUUCGGGUCUAGUGGCGCACGGGUGCGUAACGCGUGGGAAUCUGCCCUUGGGUUCGGAAUAACAGUUAGAAAUGACUGCUAAUACCGGAUAAUGUCUUCGGACCAAAGAUUUAUCGCCCAGGGAUGAGCCCGCGUAGGAUUAGCUAGUUGGUGAGGUAAAGGCUCACCAAGGCGACGAUCCUUAGCUGGUCUGAGAGGAUGAUCAGCCACACUGGGACUGAGACACGGCCCAGACUCCUACGGGAGGCAGCAGUGGGGAAUAUUGGACAAUGGGCGAAAGCCUGAUCCAGCAAUGCCGCGUGAGUGAUGAAGGCCUUAGGGUUGUAAAGCUCUUUACCCGGGAUGAUAAUGACAGUACCGGGAGAAUAAGCCCCGGCUAACUCCGUGCCAGCAGCCGCGGUAAGU
rnacentral:rRNA from 1 species